rnacentral:rRNA from 1 species
UACGUAGGGUGCGAGCGUUGUCCGGAAUUAUUGGGCGUAAAGCGCGUGUAGGCGGCUCGGGCAAGUCGGGUGUGAAAGCCCUGGGCUUAACCUAGGAAGUGCACUCGAAACUGCCAAGCUUGAGUUCUGGAGAGGAAGGCGGAAUCCUCGGUGUAGAGGUGAAAUUCGUAGAUAUCGAGAGGAACACCGGUGGCGAAGGCGGCCUUCUGGACAGCAACUGACGCUGAGACGCGAAAGCGUGGGGAGCAAACAGG